UACGUAGGGGGCAAGCGUUGUCCGGAAUCAUUGGGCGUAAAGCGCGUGUAGGCGGCUCGGGUAGUCUGGUGUGAAAUCUUUCGGCUCAACCGGAAGCGGUCACUGGAUACUCUCGGGCUUGAGUCCGGAAGAGGAGAGUGGAAUUCCUGGUGUAGCAGGUGAAAUGCGUAGAGAUCAGUGAAGAAGCCGGUGGCGAAGGCGGGUCUCUGGGCG
rnacentral:rRNA from 1 species